AUACGUAGGGGGCUAGCGUUAUCCGGAUUUACUGGGCGUAAAGGGUGCGUAGGUGGUUUCUUAAGUCAGGAGUGAAAGGCUACGGCUCAACCGUAGUAAGCUCUUGAAACUGGGAAACUUGAGUGCAGGAGAGGAAAGUGGAAUUCCUAGUGUAGCGGUGAAAUGCGUAGAUAUUAGGAGGAACACCAGUAGCGAAGGCGGUCUUUCUGGACUGUAACUGACACUGGAGGCAACGAAAGCGGU
rnacentral:rRNA from 1 species